rnacentral:tRNA from 2 species
GGCACCGUAGCUCAGUUGGUAAGAGCGGGCGUUUCAUAAGCGUCAGGUCGGAGGUUCGAUCCCUCCCGGUGCCA